AUUGAACGCUGGCGGCGUGCCUAACACAUGCAAGUCGAGCGAUGUUUGAGAGCUUGCUCUUAAACAUAGCGGCGCACGGGUGAGUAACACGUGGAUGAUCUACCCAUCAGUUCGGAACAACAGUUGGAAACGACUGCUAAUACCGGAUACGAUUCUUUUUCAACUUUGAAUGAAAGGGGGCCUCUGCAUAUGCUCUCGCUGAUGGAUGAGUCCGCGUCUCAUUAGGUAGUUGGUGGGGUAAUGGCCUACCAAGCCUGCGAUGAGUAGCCGGCCUGAGAGGGUGAACGGCCACACUGGGACUGGAACACGGCCCAGACUCCUACGGGAGGCAGCAGUGGGGAAUAUUGCGCAAUGGGCGAAAGCCUGACGCAGCGACGCCGCGUGAGGGAUGAAGGCCUUCGGGUCGUAAACCUCUGUCAGGAGGGAAGAAGUGUGCCUGUGCUAAUCAGCAGGCAUUUGACGGUACCUCCAAAGGAAGCACCGGCUAACUCCGUGCCAGCCGCCGCAGUAAAAC
rnacentral:rRNA from 1 species